UGCCAGCCGCCGCGGUAAUACGAAGGGGGCGAGCGUUGUUCGGAAUUACUGGGCGUAAAGGGCGCGUAGGCGGCUCUUUAAGUUAGGCGUGAAAGCCCCGGGCUCAACCUGGGAACUGCAUUUGAAACUGUGAGUCUGGAAUCUUGGAGAGGGUGGUGGAAUUCCUAGUGUAGAGGUGAAAUUCGUAGAUAUUAGGAGGAACACCGGUGGCGAAGGCGACCACCUGGACAAGUAUUGAACGCUGAGACGCGAAAGCGUGGGUAGCAAACGGGAUUAGAUA
rnacentral:rRNA from 1 species